CAACCAUUACGCCAGCAUCCUAGCCGAAGCGCGGACCUCAGUCCCGGCUGGCCGUAUUACACCCUGGGCUAUAACACCUCCACCGAAGUGGAGGCCACAUUCCCAGAGCCUUUAUCCGGCCGCCGAAACUGAUGCUGGCCUGUCCAAACUGAGUAAACCGGUCAGAAGACCGGCCGAACAGUUUAAACAAGUCUGAUUGCAAGCGCUUCCCUUUCAACAAUUUCACGUGCUUUUUAACUCUCUUUCCAAAGUGCUUUUCAUCUUUCGAUCACUCUACUUGUGCGCUAUCGGUCUCUCGCCAAUAUUUAGCUUUAGAAGAAAUUUACCUCCCAUUUAGAGCUGCAUUCCCAAACAACUCGACUCGUCGAAGGAGAUUUACAUAGGGUGCCAUUUCCUGUCACAUACGGGAUUCUCACCCUCUAUGACGUCCUGUUCCAAGGAACUUAGACAGGCGGCUUCCCCAAAUCAUCCUCUACAAAUUACAAUGCGAACCCGAAGGCUAGCUUUCAAAUUUGAGCUGUUGCCGCUUCACUCGCCGUUACUAGGGCAAUCCCU
rnacentral:rRNA from 1 species